rnacentral:rRNA from 1 species
GAGACCUUCGGGUCUAGUGGCGCACGGGUGCGUAACGCGUGGGAACCUGCCUUUAGGUUCGGAAUAACUCAGAGAAAUUUGAGCUAAUACCGGAUAAUGUCUUCGGACCAAAGAUUUAUCGCCUUUAGAUGGGCCCGCGUUGGAUUAGCUAGUUGGUGGGGUAAAGGCCUACCAAGGCGACGAUCCAUAGCUGGUCUGAGAGGAUGAUCAGCCACACUGGGACUGAGACAAAACAAAAACAAGUACGGGAGGGAGCAGUGGGGAAUAUUGGACAAUGGGCGAAAGCCUGAUCCAGCAAUGCCGCGUGAGUGAUGAAGGCCUUAGGGUUGUUUAGCUCUUUUACCAGGGAUGAUAAUGACAGUACCUGGAGAAUAAGCUCCGGCUAACUCCGUGCCAGCAGCCGCGGUAAUACGGAGGGAGCUAGCGUUGUUCGGAAUUACUGGGCGU